ensembl:lncRNA
CUCUAUUUGACGGUAGGAUUCUCUCUCUCUAUUUGACGGUAGGAUUCUCUCUCUCUAUUUGACGGUAGGAUUCUCUCUCUCUAUUUGACGGUAGGAUUCUCUCUCUAUUUGAUGGUAGAAUUCUCUCUAUUUGACGGUAGGAUUCUCUCUCUCUAUUUGACGGUAGGAUUCUCUCUAUUUGACGGUAGGAUUCUCUCUAUUUGACGGUAGGAUUCUCUAUUUGACGGUAGGAUUCUCUCUCUAUUUGACGGUAGGAUUCUCUCUCUAUUUUCCGGUAGGAUUCUCUCUCUAUUUGACGGUAGGAUUCUCUCUCUAUUUGACGGUAGGAUUCUCUCUAUUUGACGGUAGGAUUCUCUCUCUCUAUUUGACGGAUUCUCUCUCUCUAUUUGACGGUAGGAUUCUCUCUAUUUGACGGUAGGAUUCUCUCUCUCUAUUUGACGGUAGGAUUCUCUCUCUAUUUGACGGUAGGAUUCUCUCUCUAUUUGACGGUAGGAUUCUCUCUCUAUUUGACGGUAGGAUUCUCU